UACGUAGGUGGCGAGCGUUACUCGGAAUUACUAGGCGUAAAGCGCGUGUAGGCGGGAGCUUAAGUCUGUCGUGAAAGCUCAGGGCUUAACCCUGAAAUGCCGGCAGAAACUGGGUUUCUUGAGUGCGGUAGAGGAGAUCGGAAUUCCAGGUGUAGCGGUGAAAUGCGUAGAUAUCUGGAAGAACGCCAAAGGCGAAGGCAGAUCUCUGGGCCGUUACUGACGCUGAGACGCGAAAGCUAGGGGAG
rnacentral:rRNA from 1 species